UACGGAGGGUGCAAGCGUUAUCCGGAUUCACUGGGUUUAAAGGGUGCGUAGGCGGACACUUAAGUCCGUGGUGAAAUCUCUGGGCUUAACCCAGAAACUGCCAUGGAUACUAUUUGUCUUGAAUGUUGUGGAGGUUAGCGGAAUAUGUCAUGUAGCGGUGAAAUGCAUAGAUAUGACAUAGAACACCAACUGCGAAGGCAGCUGGCUACACAAAUAUUGACGCUGAGGCACGAAAGCGUGGGGAUCAAACAGG
rnacentral:rRNA from 1 species